CUUUUUAAUGUUGCCCUGUACUUAAUAAACAUUUAUGAGUAUCUUGAGUAAAAAUCCCUAGUCCAGUUCGGCAGGAACAGACUAUGUGGAAACUUGGCCCCUUCCUCCAAAACCCUCUUAUCAACCGUCGAAGAUAGCGGCCAAACGCGUGCGAAAGGCCAUCACUAUUCACCCAGUUCUGCUUCCGCUCUAGACCAUGGCUCUUAAACUGACGCUGAUCUUCUUGGCAACCAUCGCUCUGUGCCAGCUGUUUUGCCUGCAAGGCGAAGCCAGCAUAGUGCGCAGAGAGGCGCCCGCCACCACCGAAAAAAACGAGCUGGAAGAAGCCCUGAACUCCAUCAGACAAGGCCUGGAGGAGUUCGUCAGCAAAGUGCAGACCAGCGAAGUGUACCAGAACGCCUCAAAACUGCUGGACGAGUUCGGCCAGAAGGUGAAGCAGCAAGGGGACCAAUUGGUCCAGAAAAUCAAGGACAACACUGCCACUAAGAACUGAACUGGUUUGUGUCUUUACCGAUAAUGUAUGAAUAAAACUGUCCCCUCACGAUA
rnacentral:lncRNA from 1 species